rnacentral:rRNA from 1 species
UACGAAGGGGGGCUAGCGUUGCUCGGAAUCACUGGGCGUAAAGGGUGCGUAGGCGGGUCUUUAAGUCAGAGGUGAAAUCCUGGAGCUCAACUCCAGAAACUGCCUUUGAUACUGAGGAUCUUGAGUUCGGGAGAGGUGAGUGGAACUGCGAGUGUAGAGGUGAAAUUCGUAGAUAUUCGCAAGAACACCAGUGGCGAAGGCGGCUCACUGGCCCGAUACUGACGCUGAGGCACGGAAAGCGUGGGGAGCAAACAGG